rnacentral:snRNA from 1 species
GUGCUUGCUUUGGCAGUACAUAUACUAAAAUUGGAAUGAUACAGAAAAGAUUAGUGUGGCCCCUGCGCAAGGGUGACACACAGAGCUGACCCCAGCUGAC